UACGAAGGGGGCUAGCGUUGCUCGGAAUCACUGGGCGUAAAGGGUGCGUAGGCGGGUCUUUAAGUCAGGGGUGAAAUCCUGGAGCUCAACUCCAGAACUGCCUUUGAUACUGAAGAUCUUGAGUUCGGGAGAGGUGAGUGGAACUGCGAGUGUAGAGGUGAAAUUCGUAGAUAUUCGCAAGAACACCAGUGGCGAAGGCGACAUACUGGUCCGUUACUGACGCUGAGGCUCGAAAGCGUGGGGAGCAAACAGG
rnacentral:rRNA from 1 species